UACAGAGGGUGCGCGCGUUAAUCGGAAUUACUGGGCGUAAAGCGCACGUAGGCGGCUUGGUAUGUCGGGUGUGAAAUCCCCGGGCUCAACCUGGGAACUGCAUCCGAAACUGCCUUGCUCGAGUAUGGGAGAGGGAAGUGGAAUUUCCGGUGUAGCGGUGAAAUGCGUAGAUAUCGGAAGGAACAUCAGUGGCGAAGGCGACUUCCUGGACCAAUACUGACGCUCAGGUGCGAAAGCGUGGGGAGCAAACAGG
rnacentral:rRNA from 1 species